rnacentral:rRNA from 1 species
UACGUAGGGUGCAAGCGUUAAUCGGAAUUACUGGGCGUAAAGCGUGCGCAGGCGGCUUUGCAAGCCAGAUGUGAAAUCCCCGGGCUUAACCUGGGAACUGCAUUUGUGACUGCAUGGCUCGAGUACGGUAGAGGGGGAUGGAAUUCCGCGUGUAGCAGUGAAAUGCGUAGAUAUGCGGAGGAACAACGAUGGCGAAGGCAGUCCCCUGGACAUGUACUGACGCUCAUGCACGAAAGCGUGGGGAGCAAACAGG